GACGAACGCUGGCGGCGUGCCUAAUACAUGCAAGUAGAACGCAGUUGCGAACGGGUGAGUAACGCGUAGGUACCCUGCCUUAUAGCGGGGGAUAACUAUUGGAAACGAUAGCUAAUACCGCAUACUUUGAGAUGGACCUGCGUUGUAUUAGCUAGUUGGUGAGGUAAAGGCUCACCAAGGCGACGAUACAUACCCGACCUUAGAGGGAGGUCAGCCACACAUGGACUGAGAAACGGGCCAGGAUCCUUCGGGAGGCAGGAAGAGGGAAUCUUCGGCCAUGGGCGGAAGUCUGACCGAGCAACUGCGGGUGAAGGGAGAAGGUUUUCGGAUCUGAAAGCUCUGUUGUUAGGGGAGCGGUAACUAACCAGAAAGGGACGGCUAACUACGUGCCAGCAGCCGCGGUAAUAC
rnacentral:rRNA from 1 species